AACGAACGCUGGCGGCAUGCCUAACACAUGCAAGUCGAACGAAACCUUCGGGUCUAGUUGCGCACGGGUGCGUAACGCGUGGGAACCUGCCCUUAGGUUCGGAAUAACUCCCCGAAAGGGGUGCUAAUACCGGAUAAUGUCUUCGGACCAAAGAUUUAUCGCCCUUGGAUGGGCCCGCGUUGGAUUAGCUAGUUGGUAGGGUAAAAGCCUACCAAGGCGAAGAUCCAUAGCUGGUCUGAGAGGAGGAUCAGCCACACUGGGACUGCGACACGGACCAGACUCCUACGGGAGGCAGCAGUGGGGAAUAUUGGACAACGGGCGAAAGCCUAAGCCAGCAAUGCCGCGUGAGUGAUGAAGGUCUUAGGGUUGUAAAGCUCGUUUACCCGGGAUGAUAAUGACAGUACCGGGAGAAUAAGCUCCGGCUAACUCCGUG
rnacentral:rRNA from 1 species